rnacentral:lncRNA from 1 species
UCAGUCAAAAGUGAUUCUUCUCUAUUAAAAGCCAGAGAAUCUUCAUCUAUUUAAAUAACCAAAAUAAACAUUAAAAAGAAAGCCCACCCUACUCCAAUCUAAAAAGUGACACGAAUCUCACAAUAACAAGUUUUUAGAACAAAUGGAUUCAUUUCCAUAAGAGACAGACAAAUUGGAUAGGUGGGAUAUCCUUGUUUUUUUUUUUUUUUUUUUUUUUUUUUUUUUUUUUUUUUUUUUUUAAUUACUUUAGCACUUGAUAGGUUUUUCCCCUAACAAAAAGUCAAAACUAGUUAAAGAGAUUAAAAAUGUUUGACCAAUGACCCGGUUCGUAAUUGACGAUUUUUGGUCGAACCGUUAUAAUAAGAAUACAUUGCUAACUUCCAAAAAUUAUGAUUCACUAUAAACUAGAAUUUAAG